CCUACGGGGGGCAGCAGUGGGGAAUAUUGGACAAUGGGGGGAACCCUGAUCCAGCCAUGCCGCGUGUGUGAAGAAGGCCCUCGGGUUGUAAAGCACUUUCAGUGAGGAAGAACGCCUGGUGGUUAAUACCCAUCAGGAAAGACAUCACUCACAGAAGAAGCACCGGCUAACUCCGUGCCAGCAGCCGCGGUAAUACGGAGGGUGCGAGCGUUAAUCGGAAUUACUGGGCGUAAAGCGCGCGUAGGUGGCUUGAUAAGCCGGUUGUGAAAGCCCCGGGCUCAACCUGGGAACGGCAUCCGGAACUGUCAAGCUAGAGUGCAGGAGAGGAAGGUAGAAUUCCCGGUGUAGCGGUGAAAUGCGUAGAGAUCGGGAGGAAUACCAGUGGCGAAGGCAGCCUUCUGGACUGACACUGACACUGAGGUGCGAAAGCGUGGGUAGCAAACAGGAUUAGAUACCCUUGUAGUC
rnacentral:rRNA from 1 species